UACGAAGGGGGCUAGCGUUGUUCGGAUUUACUGGGUGUAAAGGGUGCGCAGGCGGACUGGUAAGUCAGAGGUGAAAUCUCGUCGCUUAACGACGAAACUGCCUUUGAUACUAUCAGUCUUGAAUCCGGUAGAGAUCUGUGGAAUUCCGAGUGUAGCAGUGAAAUGUGUAGAUAUUCGGAAGAACACCAGUGGCGAAGGCAGCAGAUUGGGCCGGUAUUGACGCUCAGGCACGAAAGCAUGGGGAUCAAACAGG
rnacentral:rRNA from 1 species